rnacentral:lncRNA from 1 species
CUGUGUUAUAUGUGGCCUUCCUCGGUGGGUGGCAGGAGCGGCGCCGACGCCGUCUGGUAGGGGAGCUUGUUGAGGCGGAUGCGGCAGUAGCAUGGCGCCGUGGUCGGGUGCACCCCGGAGCCGGACGAGGCGGUGCUGCGUGGCCGGCAGGCAGGUCGCAAUGCCUGCGACGACGACGAGUCGGUGAUGCGAGGCGAGGCAAUGCGGGUGGGUGGCGGCAAUGGCGGGCGGAAUCGGAGACGAAGACCGGAAGGGGGGGGAAGAGGAAGAGGAAAGGUUGGCACGGCUGGGGUGUGUUUUCGAUGGGGAAGGAGUGGUGACCAGCCUGGAUCCUGGUCCGGUGAGCUGUUCCCCUGCGCGCGCGGGGGCCUGGGCCUAUUUCCUCGUCGCCAGCGGUCCCGGCCCUGUCGCGGACACGUGGGUCCGGACCCGUGAGGUGGACAUGGAUCCCAGCUGUCAGUGUGAGAAUGUGGAUGCGAACUCGGUGGAGUCAGGAUAAGGCUGGUGGUGGGCGUACGGGGAGGCGCGCGGGGCCGGUCCUCUCUGCCCGGUCAGUCCACUCCAGUCCAGUACAGCUGCAUGCCAGGCGCUUUUGCGGUGGGGCAGCGUGGGGUCGUCCCUGUGGC